CCUACGGGCGGCAGCAGUGAGGAAUAUUGGUCAAUGGACGAGAGUCUGAACCAGCCAAGUAGCGUGAAGGAUGACUGCCCUAUGGGUUGUAAACUUCUUUUAUAAAGGAAUAAAACGAGGCACGUGUGCCUUUUUGCAUGUACUUUAUGAAUAAGGAUCGGCUAACUCCGUGCCAGCAGCCGCGGUAAUACGGAGGAUCCGAGCGUUAUCCGGAUUUAUUGGGUUUAAAGGGAGCGUAGAUGGGUUGUUAAGUCAGUUGUGAAAGUUUGCGGCUCAACCGUAAAAUUGCAAUUGAUACUGGCAGUCUUGAGUACAGUUGAGGUAAGCGGAAUUCGUGGUGUAGCGGUGAAAUGCGUAGAUAUCACGAAGAACCCCGAUUGCGAAGGCAGCUUACUAAACUGUGACUGACAUUGAUGCUCGAAAGUGUGGGUAGCAAACAGGAUUAGAUACCCGAGUAGUC
rnacentral:rRNA from 1 species